rnacentral:rRNA from 1 species
GACAGAGGGUGCAAACGUUGUUCGGAAUUACUGGGCGUAAAGCGAGUGUAGGCGGUUCUCAAAGUCGGAUGUGAAAGCCCCGGGCUCAACCCGGGAAGUGCACCGAUACUGGAGAGCUAGAGUGUCGGAGAGGUUGGUGGAAUUCUCGGUGUAGAGGUGAAAUUCGUAGAUAUCGAGAGGAACACCGGUGGCGAAGGCGGCCAACUGGACGAAUACUGACGCUGAGACUCGAAAGCGUGGGGAGCAAACAGG